UUAUGCAAGUUUCUGGAGGCUCUAGGUUAGAGUGUCCCAGGCACACCAGCAGCAGUUGGGGUUGGCGCACACGAAGGAUGAGGAAGGCCAGGCUCCAGGAUCUGCUCUGGAUACUCUUCAUCUCAGAACUCCAAGCUGCAAAUGAACCACGUGAAGAACAGUAUGUCUUAGCUGCGGGAAGUACCCUGAAUGUACAAUGUCCUUCCUCCAUCAGGAAGUAUGCCAAUAGCCAGAAAGCUUGGCAGAAGCUGAUGGAUAGAGGGGAGCCCCUGACACUGGUUUUCACAGAGAGUGUUUCAGGGAAGCCCAGUCAAGUCCGGAAGGGCAGGUACUUCCUAGAAGACAUCCCUGAUGAGGCCAUACUAAAUGUCCAAAUGACCAAUCUUCAAGUGGAAGAUUCAGGACUGUAUCGGUGUGUGAUCUACCACCCUCCCAAGGACCCUGACAUCUUGUCCCCCCUUGUCCGCCUGGUUGUGACCAAGGAUUUUUUAGUCUCAGACAAGAUUCCUACGCAGAACUUUGUUCAGAUUUCCACCUUUUCUCCUUCCACCACCAAGGCCCAGAGCACACUCCUUACCAGUCCCAGGAUUCCAAGCUGUAGGUGAAGGGGAGAGACAAAAGUGCCUGUUGGGAGGAAAGAACUGAACAUCGUAUUCUACUCCUCCAGCCUGAAGGCCUGGCAGGGAGAGAAGAGCCAGGGCCCCCCGGAGACACUGGUGCACAUGAACACUAGAAGAAAAGACCUAAACUGGGCCCAGGCUGGAAGAUACCUCUUGAAGCAUUGUCCCAGGGAAGCUGUAUGCAAGGUCACAAUGACAGAGCUCUGACAGAAGGACUUGGGGCUGUACCAAAAAUGGCACUGGCCAAAAGAACCAACCAAGGCAGUCUGGAUCCAAUGUGAGUUGUGUCCAGGCAAGGGUUGUUCCAUGAAGACCAAAGAGAAAAGGGUAAGGGCUUAGCUGAGGCCCUCAGCUCAGGGCCCACCUGUGAACUCCAGGGAGCCAGGCCGACCACAUGGAAGACUUUCUUCUGCUCCAGGUGGGCCAAGGGAGUCCUGAAUCCUAGCAGACAGAAUGGCCUUUGCUUUUGUUUCUAUCCUGAAGCCCCAGUGCAAGGGUUGAGUGUUACUACUUCAAGGCAGCAAAAGUCCCAUCCACCAGCCACAGAGGAAAGGAGCUGGGAACAUGCAGGCGUAUCAAACCCCUGACAAUGGGGCACUGCUUAGAAAAUGGGAUGGAAAAUGGAAAUGGAAAUUUAGGAAAAUGGAAUCUGAGAAUCAGCAGCCUCUUCCUCAGAGUUGAAGGAAUGGGAUCAACAGAAGUCCAUCCUUACCCAGAACUGUUGGGGAAUGAGAGUCAUGGGUGGGUGUCAGAGAGCACUACCUGGAAGGGGAGAAAUGUUGAAAUGCACAAGGGGGAUGGCAUUCCAUGCCAGGAGCAAGUGGUGGGAAUGCAUGCACAGAGUGGGCCAGCUACAGUGGUGGAUCGCUGGGCUGAGUGUCAGGGAGAGGGUAAGGAUAACGCACGGCCAUACAUUCAGAUUGCGGAGACACCGGAAGGCCACGCGGUCAUGCGCACUUUGUCCUGUAGGCAAUGCGGAGCACGAAGGGCUUUCCUUAGACCCCCUGAGGGGAAGACUGAGGGUCUUGGUUCAAUCACCCAGCAACUGUGCAGGAGGUUUGGAGAAAGGAGGUGUUAGGGGCAGGAGACCAGAUAGAUUCCUCUGGGGUGAAUGCCAAGGUUAAGGAUCCUGGGAAAAGUAGAGGCCCUGUCUUCAAAAGGUGCAAAGCCCUGCUUAGCUGCUCUCAUAGCUGGGAGCAGGCUGAGCUUCAGAGCAGAACAUCCAGCAGAUAUCCACCCUUUUGGAUUCUGGGGGUGAGGGUCAAACCUAGGACUCCAGUGCUUGCUCUUCCCACAGGCCCGCUGCUGCUGGUGAUUGUUCUGAUAUACGAAUCCAUCCUGAACAAGGGCCUUGUUGGUUCUUGGUCUUGUUUAUCUCUCUCCAUAAAGCCUGGGGCUCAGGUAAGGCAGGCUCCUGAGGUGUCCCCAAGGCACAGCAAACCCAGGGAAGCAGACUUAACCUUCCAAGAGCAGAUGGGCAUGUCUUCUUCCACUAACAAAUACCACAUUCCACUCUGUUCAGUGGUAAAUAAGAGGUUUCCUGAACUUCUUUGUGAGGUCUCUUAUCCAGAGGGAGAAGAGCAAUAACGGGAGGGGGGAGUGUAGAGGGCUGGCUGCAAAAAAACCCACGGGGAGUCAUCAGGGCCAAGGGAACGGCAAUCGAUUUCUGUGCUGGGACUCAAUAUUGGGACUCACAAAGUGUAGUUCAGAUGAACCUUACGUUUGUUCUCUUAUUGCCAUCUAGACUCGCUCUGCUGGGGAUCUUGCUGGCCCCCCGGUAAAACGUGCAGGAAGACCCAUCACACUUCAGGUCAUUUUUUUGAAAAACAAACUUUACUUUUGAGAGCAAUUUCAGGUACACAGCAAAACUGAGAAGACAGUAUAGAAUUCCCUGUUCCACCUGUCCCACCACGUGCACGGCCUCUCCCUCUAUGGACAGUUCUUAGCCUGCAGUCAGACACCAGUCUGCUGCGUCUCUCAAGUGCCAAAGACAUUUAAGCUCUCCAAGUUGUGACCUUGAACCCCUUUCCCUGGUCUUGAGGUAAAGAGGAGACAUCCACUCCCCUCUACCUGCAGGGUCAUAAUAUAUCCAAAAUGUCUUGGUGUGGGUGAGGUUUGGAUACCUUUUUGCAUGGGUUGCAUGCUGGUGUUCCCCCCUCACUCUGGAAUAUGGCAUCUAUUUUCUUGGGACUUGUGUUAGUUGCAGAUAGCUAAAUUCAAUCUGCCUAUUUUAUGUAGGAAGGGAUUUUUCAAAACCCAGAAGAGUAAGCCACUGGGAAUGACUCUCACAGCUACCCUGCAGGGCGGGGAUGCUAAGGGAGCCACUGCUCUUGUCACAGUCAGGACCCUGAAGAAUCAGAAAACUUCCCAAGUCAGGACGCAGCCAGCCUAGCUUCUAGUUCCAGCCUCAUCCCACCUCAGCCACAAUUCGCGGUAGCAAAAAUGGUUGCCUUUCUUCCAAACUUAAGUCUUGCACAUAUGCAUUUGAUUGGUGGGGUCUAAAUUAUAUCUGGAACCCCGGCUGCCAGAAAGUAUGAGAAAAGAUUGUGUAGACCUUUUAUUGUGCAGAAAGGUCCAUGGGAAGAAGGGAGGAAUGGUCCACAGCCUCUGUCCCCAAAAAUCUCAGCCAAAACUGAGAUGAAAGCAGUUCAAAUUUGAAGUGUCUUUUUUUUUUUUGUCAGUGAAAGACAAUUACAAACAUAUAUUCGUUGUUGUGUUAUGACAAAUACACCCUUUUUAAAUUAUAAAUUUAUGUUAUAAUAAAAGUUACUGUUUACCAAAAACAAUAUGUUAGACAUUAUUAUGUGUUACAUAUUGCAUAAGAAGAUACAAACACAGAGAAUUCCUAUUUUUUCCUAUUCCAAAAUCUAUGGUACUUUUCUCAAACAUCUCUGUGUGUUCAAGAAAAUGACUCCUAUUUCUCUGCUUCAUUCUACUCCUGGGAUACCCACAUGAUCAUUAAUUCCUCAGUGACAUUUGGAAAAUUCAGGUUCCAUGGCAGUCACGUUCGUGAAAAUAGUUCCAGUUUAGCAUUUGUUUACAACAAACUUUUUAAAACCUCGUAAAAUCAGAACUGAUUACAUUUGAAACCAAGGGCAGGUCUUUUGGGGCUGAUCUUUGAGGACCAGGCUUCUCUGUGGGAAAGAAAAAAAUGCAAAAUAGCUAGAAAAAAAAGAUGUAAUCAAGUUGUAGCAUACAGAUGUGCUCUUUAACUAAAUUUACUAUGCCUAUCGGAAAGCAAACGAAAGACAACUAUCCUAAUAAAUUAACAGAUUGCCAGAAACAGACUAAGAACCCUCAUUUCUAUUUAGUGGGGGGGGG